CACUGUCGUUAUAAAUACCGAAUUCGACGCUCUAACACUCUGUGGCUGCGCCGAUACCUAAAAGAUUUCUUCAACACUCGUGAAGAGAGGGCAAAAGUUGUAGCUAAAUCUUCGAGCAGACAUGAGGGCUAAGUGGAAGAAGAAGAGAAUGAGGAGGUUGAAGAGGAAGCGCCGAAAGAUGAGGCAGAGAUCUAAGUAGAGAAAAGGCUUGUUUUUUUGCAGUGGUUUACUUUGCAAGAAUGACUUCCUAGUCUUAUGAAACUCUUUACCAUCUUAUCUAGGUUUGGUUUAUUGGAAAACAUGAGACUUGUUUUGUCCAUGCUUAAUUAAUGUUAUUGUUCAAGACUAUUGCUUUGAGUAUCUCAACCUUACUACUAUUUCAACACAUUUAUCA